UUAAAUAUUUUAAUUUUGUCUCGUUAAUGACAGCAUAUACAUUUUUUUUAGCUUCAUAUGAUGGUCCCUGGUGGGCAGUACUAGGGCAAAAAUGCCACACAUGUGUCACGCAUGUACCUAAAAACGCAUGUGUCACAGGUGUGUCACAUGCGUAAUACACAUGUUUCUUGCCACGCAUGUGAAUCAUGCGUGGUACACAUGCGUUCACAUGCGUUACACACGCAUGUGAAUCGCAUGUGUCAGAAAAACACCUGUGUCACGCAUGUGUUGGAAAACGUGUGUGACACAUGCGAUAUUUGCAGGUGUAACACAUGUAUAGUCAAACGCAUGUGUAACGCAUGUGUUACACAGGCAAAUUUUGUUGAUGUGAAUUCAAGUUAAAUUUUUCACGUGAAUUUUACGUUAAACUUUUCAUGUGAAAUUCACAUGAAAAAAAGUUAAUUGUGUCCAAGUUGAAAAAAAUUAACAUCAAAAUUAAAACUUGUUUAUUAACAUCUAAUACCUUGUAAGACAUAUAUUCCAUUGAAAAUCUUAUUUUACUUUUAAAAAAUUUAUUUUCACACGAAACCCCCCUUUUUUAGAAUGAUCAAUGCAUUUAAAUGGGGAAAUAUAAUUGGAACCCCCCUUUUAUCCUGUGUUGGGAUGCUCCCCCUUUUAAAAAUGGCUGGAUCAGCCACUGAUUAUCCUUAAUUGUCACCAUAAAAAAUGGUAUUUUAUUCAAUCUGCUUAGAAAAAUAAUCGCAGGAAAAAAAAGGCAAAGUAAAAAUAAAGUUGCAAUAAUUGUCAGAUAUGGGUCCAGGAUCCUGAAAAAAAGUGAGACUAGACUUGUAAAAAGUCUCUCUCUAUAUAUAAUUCCUAAAGGGAGUAGGCCAGGGGAUUCUGUGAAUCAUCCCCCUUCCCCCAUAAAAUCUUCUUCUUAUUUGAACAAUUAAAAGUUUAAUCUUUAAACAUUUAUUUUAAUUAAGAUUUUCAUUGGUACUUCUUUUAAUACAUAUACACAGGUAAAAGAAGUAUGCGUUUAUAUUGGGAGAAUUUGGUGUUAAUGGCAGAUCUUUUGAUCUUCACCACUUUGAAAAAAAAUGAUUUAGAACUUGGAAUAUCUAGAUAUGUUGUGUUGUGUUUUUGUUAUUAUUGUUUGAAUAACUUUCUCAAAGGUGUGUUACAAUAACCUCAUACAUCUCUUUUUAUUCCUAUGUAUCUGCCAACUAUCUUGGACAAAAGACAGACAGAUACACCCAGUAGAUAUAUUUAAGUCUUAAGUGCUUCAUACAGUUAUGGAACUAAAUUAUACAUUUGCAUAUUUUAUUUAGUAUUUUCUUAUUUGUAACCCUUGUGUUACAAAAAUGACUGAUUGUAUGUAACAUUGACAUUGGAUUGUACAAGUGAAAAUUUAAAAAUUACCUUUUGGUAGUUCAAACAAACGUGACCAAUUAACAUUGUCAAUACUUGAUUGUUGACCAUUCUGAUUAUCUGUCCAAGUACAAAACUAUGCUAACAAGAUAAUACACAUGAGCAUAUAGAAAGUACUUGAAAAGUUUCAGAGUGUUUGGGGUAGUCUGUCCUGUUCAAUACGGCUCAUAAGAUAAAGGGGAAAGCAACACUGUUAUCGUGUUUAAAUCACGACAAACAAUAGUCACUACAUACAUGUCCCUUUAAUUUUAAGGCUUUCACAAUGUACAGAAUAAUAUACCAUUAUAACUUUAUCAUACAUUUCUUCAUCUUUGGUGUGGAAUAAAAGCAAAGGACAUACUUACCUGCUUAUAUUUUACUUGUGUUUCAAGCAAGCAUUUGGUGGGUUGAGAGGGGUUUACUGUAACGGCGGUUAUAAACCUACCACCACCCAAGUGCCACCACAUCAGUGUCCUGCAUGCACUUGCCCGCAGGCGGUGUCAAAAGUUACAUGUGCUUGUGUUCUUUCAAAGUUCAUAAAAUGUGGAACAAAUGUCCUCAAUUUCUCUAUUCUAUUUUUAAGGGGAACAUAAAUAUCAAUCAGUGUUGGAGCUGGGACUAUUGUAAAAUAGUCUCGAUAAUAGUCCCAGGUUGGAGGCAUUAAUGUCAUUAAUACCAUUGUGAGGGUACUACUGGAAAGAAGUUGUUUAAGAAUACAUCAACGAAGGAUUUGUUUAUUGGAUCAACGGUGAUAACAUUUUAAAACUGUGAUACCCAAACAACCUUGGUAUGAAAAACUGGACAGAAAUCUUCAGUAACCGUUGUGCUUAACAUUACACAAAAACUAAAGAUUGUGCCAUUGACGGAUCCAGAAAUUUUCAUAAGGGGUCCCACUGACUGCUAAAGAGGGGGCCUCCCUAGUCAUGCAUCAGUGAUUCCCGAUAUAAUAGAUCAAAUUUUUCCCACAAAAAGGGGAGGGGCAGGGUGCUCUAAAUCCGCCUUUAUGUGCAACACGAACCUCCAAAAUAGAUGGGUGAACUCUGACAAGUAUUGUGAAUGAUAAAGUUAGGAACUUCCUGCUAGGUUUGAGUAUACAUGUAAUUGCCAAAUUAAGUAAGUAAAACUUUGAUUCGCCAUAUUGGCAAACAUGUGAAGAUAAGAUCUGGUGAGCUUUUCGUCGAAUAUCAUGAGGAGAAAGUGUUAAAAAUAUUUGCAUAGUUCAUGAGUUGAAAACUAUAAAACAAAAUAUAUUGUUUAACCUUGGACAAAAAGAUCAAGUCCAAAACUAGCUGUUAUGUGUGUAGGCUAGCUUAAAUUUGAAGAGUAUGCAAUUCUAAAUCAAGGAGGCGGUAGGCAAUUUCCUAAUUAUAUUACAAAAGAACUUGUCACAGAUUCUUAACUAAACGUCUAUCAGAUAAGUAAAAUUUCUAAUUCACUAGUUGACAUCUGUUGGACAUAGAUACUCAAAUUGCAGAAUCUUAUUAGUAAUAAUAAAAAAUCAGUGUUUUCUGUGACAUCAUUUUGAAAAAUAUAUGUUUAUAUUUUAUUCAUUACACUCUAACUGUUUAACAUUUAAUUCUUCUCUGAUUAGAGUAAUUAUCGUUUGUCAAUUUUCCAAACUUCCCAUGCCCCCCUCAGCAGAGUUAUUUAAUUCUGAAUGGAACAAAAUGUGAAUGAGUUAUAAAUAAUAUAUAAAUGAUUGAAUAUUCUUUAUUUAGUUUUUCUUUGUUCUCAAUUCUUCCAGAGACAUGUAUAUGCUCUGAGAAUAAUGUCUUUGCAUGAUUCUUCAUAAUUAAGUAUACUCAAUUAUUCUCUAUGAUCCUUCUUCUAUUUUUUUGCUUUUCAACUAUCUAUAUAUAUUUUUGUGUCCUUAUUUAAAUCCCCAUUCUUGAUUCCAGACUAACUCUCAUAUAUUAUACAUAAAUGUACGAAAGCUUGGCACGCCGAAUACGGAAACCCGGAAAUCUUUUCACCGUUGCCGUUUUUAUACUAUGACGCAAAAUCCAUGGACGCUCGUCUGCUGCUGAAUUCAUGUUUUACUGUUUAAAAAGAAUGGACAAAGAUAGUCAGAUAGUUGAUACAAAGACCUUUGAUUUUUCAAACUGAUGGAUCAAAAAGUUAUUAUAAACAGAUAUAUUGAAAUGGCUUUUUCAACGAAAGUACAAUUACUUUGAGAAGUAGGAGAAGCUAAGCAACAGGACAGAAUUCAUUUGCGGCAUUGCUUUUUAGAUUAUAUAGUGGAGUCAUAGAUCGUCCUAUUGAUUUAUGUGCAUAUGAGGAGUAGUAGUCAAUGAAUAAUUUUGUGAUGAGAGAAUUAGCUCCUGAGAUGUAAGUGGAAGGGAAGCUAUAUACAUUAUAUGUUUUAAUGAAAUUAACAACAGGAUUAGAUAUUGAGGAGAUCCUUUAGCUACAGUAUAUAUAAAUGUAACUGCAACUGUAUUCCAAGAGUCUGAUGGCUGAUAAUGUAUUACAGGAUUUUAUCAUUCAAGCAACAUCUUAGAAGGAUAAGUGCAAAUGUAUGAAGGAAGCCUUGGGUACAAAUAGAAAUUACAGCAAUUACAUGCAGGAGAGAACUCUUAAACAUUAUUAACAGACAUGUCGUCAUUAUAUGGGAGUGGUAUAUUUAAGAAAUCUAAAACACAUGAAAUAAAAUAUUGUGUAUAUUAUUUCAACCACAAGUACUCUCAGAAUAUAAUACAAUUCAAAUUCAAAUUAUUGUGUCAACAUGACAAUUAUAGUCUAAAAAUGGAAAAUGCAUGUUUUAAACUGAAUUUUAUAUAAAUAUUUGAAAUAACAAGAAUUUUUAGUCUAUUGUGCAGCCAAACUUUGAGAUCUUCUA